UAUUGGACAAUGGGCGAAAGCCUGAUCCAGCAAUGCCGCGUGAGUGAUGAAGGCCUUAGGGUUGUAAAGCUCUUUUACCCGGGAUGAUAAUGACAGUACCGGGAGAAUAAGCUCCGGCUAACUCCGUGCCAGCAGCCGCGGUAAUACGGAGGGAGCUAGCGUUGUUCGGAAUUACUGGGCGUAAAGCGCACGUAGGCGGCUUUGUAAGUUAGAGGUGAAAGCCUGGAGCUCAACUCCAGAAUUGCCUUUGAUACUGCAUCGCUUGAAUCCAGGAGAGGUGAGUGGAAUUCCGAGUGUAGAGGUGAAAUUCGUAGAUAUUCGGAAGAACACCAGUGGCGAAGGCGGCUCACUGACUGGUAUUGACGCUGAGGUGCGAAA
rnacentral:rRNA from 1 species